rnacentral:rRNA from 1 species
AGUGAACGCUGGCGGUAGGCCUAACACAUGCCAGUCGAACGGCAGCACAGUAAGAGCUUGCUCUUACGGGUGGCGAGUGGCGGACGGGUGAGGAAUACAUCGGCAUCUACUUUUUCGUGGGGGAUAACGUAGGGAAACUUACGCUAAUACCGCAUACGACCUACGGGUGAAAGCAGGGGAUCUUCGGACCUUGCGCGACUGAAUGAGCCGAUGUCGGAUUAGCUAGUUGGCGGGGUAAAGGCCCACCAAGGCGACGAUCCGUAGCUGGUCUGAGAGGAUGAUCAGCCACACUGGAACUGAGACACGGUCCAGACUCCUACGGGAGGCAGCAGUGGGGAAUAUUGGGCAAUGGGCGCAAGCCUGAUCCAGCCAUACCGCGUGGGUGAAGAAGGCCUUCGGGUUGUAAAGCCCUGUUGUUGGGAAAGAAAAGCAGCAGGUUAAUACCCCGCUGUUCUGACGGUACCCAAAGAAUAAGCACCGGCUAACUUCGUG